CAGCCGCCGCGGGAACACAGAGGGUGCGAGCGUUAAUCGGAUUUACUGGGCGUAAAGCGUGCGUAGGCGGCUUUUUAAGUCGGAUGUGAAAUCCCUGAGCUUAACUUAGGAAUUGCAUUCGAUACUGGGAAGCUAGAGUAUGGGAGAGGAUGGUAGAAUUCCAGGUGUAGCGGUGAAAUGCGUAGAGAUCUGGAGGAAUACCGAUGGCGAAGGCAGCCAUCUGGCCUAAUACUGACGCUGAGGUACGAAAGCAUGGGGAGCAAACAGGAUUAGAGACCCCCGUAGUCCCUGUCUCUUAUAC
rnacentral:rRNA from 1 species